UACGUAGGGUGCAAGCGUUGUCCGGAAUUAUUGGGCGUAAAGAGCUUGUAGGCGGUUUGUCGCGUCUGCUGUGAAAUUUCGGGGCUCAACCUCGGGCCUGCAGUGGGUACGGGCAGACUAGAGUGCGGUAGGGGAGAUUGGAAUUCCUGGUGUAGCGGUGGAAUGCGCAGAUAUCAGGAGGAACACCGAUGGCGAAGGCAGAUCUCUGGGCCGUAACUGACGCUGAGGAGCGAAAGCGUGGGGAGCGAACAGG
rnacentral:rRNA from 1 species